AGCUGAAUUCUGAGCCUGGAGUGAAGGGAGAAGUUCAGAGGUGGCAGCUGACAUCAGUCUGAGCAGGUAGAAGGAGAAACAGGAGCUGCAAGAAUGGGAGUCAGGGGCUCUCCUGCUGACAUGGGGCCCGCGAAGGGAGCAGCAAGUUUAGCCCAAACGAAAGCAGGAGUGAAGGAGGUGAGGCAGAGUUUGAAGGGGUGAGGAGUGAACUGCAGUGUUGUGGAAAAUGAGAAGAGUAAAGAAAAAGGGUGGAAAUGAGGACACUAAUGGAGAUCGACUGAACCUUGGUGGUCUGAAGCAUUCAUGUCACUGCCUCUGUUUCACUGAGGUGUAGCAGAGUCAUUUUGUUGGAAGUCACACAUCUAGAAGCAGAAAUGGGACUCCACUGUCAGAUAGUGAUGGCUAUAACCUGAGGAAUUCCAGGCAAGACGUGGGAGGUUGUGUGGUUUCCCUCUGUGGCACUGGUCUGACCACCAACAGCAGAUUGCCCCCCUCCCAGUCUGUGCUGUGGUCAUCCAGAGAUUUUUAGAUCAAAUGUAGGAAAACAAGGCACUUGUUAGGGUGUGGUUUAUCUGACUUUAGUUUCCAAUGAGUUUAAUCAUUCUUUUGGCUGGAGUUCUCAUGGCAAGAAAAGGGUAACAGGCUCAGAUGUAUAUACUUGCCUUACAGGUAUUACUGAUUUAGUCAAAUUAUUGGUACUAUUGUUUUAAAGACAAAGCUGUUCACAAGAGUUACUUCUUUACUCCAAAGGGAAGUGGUGCUAAUGAGGGACAAAAAGUCCGUCUGCCUUGGAUAAAGAUUGGGAUCCCUUCAGCAAGAUCUGAUGUUGGUAUUUAGUAUUUUUAGUUCAUAAGUGAACCUGAAGAACUUUUUGUUUUUAAUGGGGUUUAUGUGUGCUAAUCACCCAGACGGUAGAAGGAUAAACAAAGAAAACCUCACAGCAUGUGAACCAAGUACCUUAAGCACUGUAGGAGCAAUACCAAGACUCAAAGAGAGAUUUUAUUUGGAACAACAUGGAUCAUUUGUCCCAGGAGAUAAACUGUACUCUCGCAGAGAUUCAAUAUUUGCUGUUUGUGCUGUUCCUAUUUUCUAUUGCAUACAUGUAUAUCCCUGAUAACUAAACCUGAGUAGAUUUCUUGCAUGUUGUUCAUGACAUUAUUUUCAGUUUGAUUCUGUGAGAAAUGUUUCAGCACCUUCAGAACAUUUAACAAAGCUGAAA
rnacentral:lncRNA from 1 species